ensembl:lncRNA
CCAAGGAGUAAGGUAGAUCCAGACCCGCCCCUUCUCACCUUCUUAUAAGAUGAGCUCAGGACCUGGGACUGCAUCUUCACUCAACCAACCAUCAUGAAGCCUUACACAAAACCUGAGACUUUCCUGCUAGCCCCCAUGCUGCUCUGCACCCUCCCGGGUCUGGGGUACCCACUAGGCUGUGAGGUGUGUAUCAGGGAUGGAGCCAUAUGCAUUGGAGAAACGAAGACAUGCGCCCAGGACGAGGACACCUGCAUCGUCAUCACGACUGAGACUAAUGAUAAGGGCUCCGUGGACGUGACCAGCUACAAGGGGUGCUUGAAAUCCAGCGAGUGUGACCCGGGAUUCCUCUCCAUCACUGUGGCUCCGGAGAACACAUGGGGUCCAACACGUGCUGCUGCCAGAGCGAUGGCUGCAACCACAAUCCCCUGCCCGCAGUCAGGAGAAAUCUGACAGAGAAUGGCCUUCGGUGUCCUUCCUGCUCCACCUUCCUCAAGGAAACAUGCAUCCCGACUGAGGAAACGUUCUGUUUGGGUGAAGAAACCUGCUGUGUCACCAUGACUGGCCUCAUGCACCCUGGUGAGGGGCACCUGGAUUUCAGGAGGAGGGCACAGGGUUCCCGGAGGGUCCCAGAACUGGAGCCUCAUUAUUCCAGAUUCUUAGGGAGAAAGUGGCUCCAGAGAAAUGGAGGAAGGUGGCUGGGGCAUGACCCCUGGAUUGGGAGCGGGGAGGCAUUGGAGAUCCUGAUUCUAGUCUGAAAUCCCCUCCAGCAGGUGUCAAAUUUGCUUCCCAGGGAUGUGCUAUGGAGAACACCUGCCACAUCAAGCCUGGGACCCUGGUGCCCUCAGGCUCUCAUUUGCUGACCAUCAAGAAGAUCAGCUGUCUUCCAAGCCCCCAGGCUUCUGGCAAAGCUGAGUGAAGAACUGAGGCCCAUAUGGUGUUUGGUCUCCAUUCCUUCUCAGCUAUAGCUUCCCACGUGUCUAUAAAUUAAACGAAUCAACAGAACAAGGCUGUCUUUGUGCUGUGAUGCAUUUCAGGGAGAUGGGAUGCAAAAAGCAGGGGUCUCAACCCUGUCGAACCCCCUCUUUGGAACGAGGAGAGGGAAGAUGCUACCUUUUGUUAAGGGAUUACUUCCUGCUGGGUCUCUGUGCUAAGUGUUUUCCACGAGAGAGCUCAUUUCAUAAUCACAACUCUGUGAGGGUGAAAGUAUUGUCCCCAUUUUACAGAGGAACAAACUGAGGCACAGAUUGUGGUGUCACUUGCCUUUGGUCAAACAGUUGGGAGCGUCAGACUCCAGAGUGCAUGAUCACCUCUCCCGGUUAACCUCUUUUUGCCUCAGUUUCAUGUUUGUAAGUGGUGGAUAUUAAUAUUUAUAACCUCACAGAGCUAUUUGAACUGUCAAAUGAAAAAAAACUAAAAAAGGACUUAGUGCAGUGCCUAGCACCUUAAAGGAGGCUCUCCUGGUUGCUCAGAUGGGAAAGAAUCUGCCUAAUAAUGCAGAAGAGGCAGGUUCAAUCCCUGGGUUGGGAUGAUCCCUGGAGGGGGGCAUGGCAGCCCCAGCAUUCUUGCCUGGAGAAUCCCAUGGACAGAGGAGCCUGGCAGGCUGCAGUCCAUGGGGUCACAAAGAGUUGAACACAACUGAGUGACUGAGUGAGGCACUAGCACCUUUAAGACAGUGUUGGUUCUGGAGACAAUGUGUCUGGCCAAAUAGCUACUAUCCUAAUAGCUGCCACUUACUUACUUAAUAGCUGAGUAGGC